rnacentral:rRNA from 1 species
AACGAACGCUGGCGGCGUGCCUAACACAUGCAAGUCGAACGGGAAAACCCGCAAGGGUGAGUACAGUGGCGCACGGGUGCGUAACACGUGGGUAAUCUGCCCAGAAGCCCGGAAUAACUCCCCGAAAGGGGUGCUAAUGCCGGAUGAGACCACGGGGACUUCGGUUCCUGGGGGAAAAGGUGGCCUCUGUAUACAAGCUAUCACUUUUGGAUGAGCCCGCGGCCCAUCAGCGAGUUGGCGGGGUAAUGGCCCACCAAGGCUACGACGGGUAGCUGGGCUGAGAGGACGAUCAGCCACACUGGAACUGAGACACGGUCCAGACUCCUACGGGAGGCAGCAGUGGGGAAUCUUGCGCAAUGGGCGAAAGCCUGACGCAGCAACGCCGCGUGUGUGAUGAAGGUCUUCGGAUCGUAAAGCACUGUCGGGAGGGACGAAUAAGGGCCGGGUGAACAAUCCGGUUCGACGACGGUACCUCCAGAGGAAGCACCGGCUAACUCUGUGCCAGCCGCCGCCGUAAAAC